UGUUUAACUAAGCAUGCGGUGAAGCUUUCAGUAUAUUUCACCUUAUGUGUAAUUAAGUAAGCUUUGCCUUUCUAUUGUAAGCUUAAUAUAGGUCAGAAGAUAUAUAACAAAUUACAGCAGCGUACCAGAUAGCCUCUGGAUGCUGUAGGGCGCCAAUAUCCUAUGCUCGCAGAAGCCACUUGCAACGUCCUAAGGACAAUUUCAAUAUAGG